UACUUGUGAAUAUAACUCUAUAGCUCUUUUUAUCCCAUUGUUAAGACCUCUGCUCAUUUAUAGAAACACAGUCAGCCAUUACCCCCCUGUAAAUACCUGCUGAAUGUGUUUCCUGAUGCUCACCAGACUCCUGCUCGCUUUCUGCCCUGGAGCAGUUUGGACCAAACUGGUUCUUCAGCAGUUAUGCAGAUCUCUUUCAUCGCAGCUUUCCUUCUGGUAGCAGUCGCUCAUGCUGCUCCUGGUUUAGAGCAACAAGGACAGCCAAAUGGUGGGAUGGGUGGACCCAGUCAACCCGGGCAACCCCAGGGACGGCUAAAUGGUGGGAUGGGUGGCCCAAAUCAACCCGGGCAACCCCAAGGACGGCCAAAUGGUGGAGUGGGUAGGCCCAGUCAA